rnacentral:lncRNA from 1 species
AAAGACUGGAAACAGAAAGAUUGGACUUUGUAAGACUUUGAUGUAAGGAGUCAGAAUCAUAAUUUCACAUAUGAAGCAUCUUUUACAUCUGGGGAGUCAGAAUCCCAAAGGCAAAAAAUUGUGUGUGCAAAGAGCUUACCAAAUCUUAAGCCUCAUUCUCAGCAUUAAGCUGUAUGUUUAGGCUAGAAGAAAGUGAAGAUUCUUGAAAGCAAGAAUAAUGUGGGACUGCAAAGGCAAAG